UCAAACGGCUGUGUCCUAUAUACCGAGGCCGCAGCUUUUGGCAGACUCCUCUGUUUCAACCCCCUGUUGCAGGUCUGCUUCCGGCUCUCUACUUCGGUUCGUUCAGCCGCCCAACACACGUACUAUCAAGGAGUGUAGUGACUGAAAGUUCAUCCCCAGAGGUCUCCAGUUUCGGUUCAGUUAAAUUGUCCGAAGUGUUUGUCUCAACACAUCGCAGCUCUCGUUAGUAAACCGGCGAGCUGGGGCUAGGGGAAUCUUGAUCACUUAAGUAAUUUUGAAAGAGGAUGCAACUCCCCUGUGCCUGGUCGGGUGGAGACUAGUGUUUCCCGGGCAACAGACAAGAUAUGCUGUUUUGCAGUGCUAAAUUGAACAGGUUAGGGGGAAAACACUUCCUGUGGGAGUGUAGUUGUUUACUGUUAACUGCCGAACUGCGGUUAAGAAUACCGCGAAAGCGGCAGUCCUUAGGGUCGUGAAGAGUCGGACACGACUUCACUUUCACUUUCACUUUCAUGCUUGGAGAAGGAAAUGGCAACCACUCCAGUGUUUUUGCCUGGAGAAUCCCAGGGACGGCGGAGCCUGGUGGGCUGCCGUCUAUGGGGUCGCACAGAGUCGGACACGACCGAAGCGACUAGCAGCAGCAGCAGCAACAGCACCAAGACCUAAGCAAGAAUACUGGAGUGGGUUGCCAUUUCUUUCGCCAGGGGAUUUUCCCGACCCAGGGAUUGAACUGGGGUCUCCCGCAUUACAGGCAGACUUCUUAACAUCUGAGCCACCAGAGUCCUGGAGGAUGGGUUUCAGAGCAACAUUAUGCUGAAUGAAAUUACGCAUAUCCAAAAUGGAGUCACUUCCCUUUCUUUCUUAUAAACUCCAGAUCAACAAUGUCAGCCUCUGACUCCAGACCUACAUACGGAGAAAGAAUGAUUCAUUUCCCCAUUGGUUAUCCAUACUCAAAUGCAAUUAAGGAAUUUGAAAUUGUUUAAAAUAAUUAACAAUAAACUCUCCUACUUUUCUCCCAUCCUUGGAUUAAUUUCCCUUAUGAGCCAUCCCUGGGAAC